CGCCNGAAUUGGGUUAGUCCGUACGAGCGCCCCCCUUGUCCUUAAUUGCCAUCAUUUAGUUGGGGACUCUCAGGAGACUGCCGGUGACAAACCGACAGAGCGGGGACAACAUCUCGUCAUCAUGGCCCUUACGAGUAGGGCUACACACGUGCUACAAUGGCAAGUACAGAGGGCCGCACAACCGCGAGGUGGAGCUAAUCUCACAAAGCUUGUCGUAUUCCGGAUUGGAGUCUGCAACUCGACUCCAUGAAGUCGGAAUCGCUCGUAAUCGUGAAUCUCAGAAUGUCGCGGUGAAUACGUUCCCGGGCCUUGUACACACCCCCUAUAA
rnacentral:rRNA from 1 species